rnacentral:ncRNA from 1 species
CUGAGCCGUAUGAGGUAGGAAACUCUCAAGUACGGUUCUAAGGGAAGGAACUUCGGUUCUUUCAAUACAAUGAAAAAAUUCAAAAGGGUUUCUAUUUAGU